rnacentral:rRNA from 1 species
UACGUAGGGGGCAAGCGUUGUCCGGAAUGACUGGGCGUAAAGGGAGUGUAGGCGGCCUUGCAAGUUAGAUGUGAAAUCCUAUGGCUUAACCAUAGAACUGCAUUUGAAACUGUUAUUCUAGAGUAUGGGAGAGGUAGGUGGAAUUCUUGGUGUAGGGGUAAAAUCCGUAGAGAUCAAGAGGAAUACUCAUUGCGAAGGCGACCUGCUAGAACAUAACUGACGCUGAUGCGCGAAAGCGUGGGGAGCAAACAGG